rnacentral:rRNA from 1 species
GCCCUACGGGAGGCAGCAGUGGGGAAUAUUGGACAAUGGGGGCAACCCUGAUCCAGCCAUGCCGCGUGAGUGAUGAAGGCCCUAGGGUUGUAAAGCUCUUUCACCGGUGAAGAUAAUGACGGUAACCGGAGAAGAAGCCCCGGCUAACUUCGUGCCAGCAGCCGCGGUAAUA